rnacentral:rRNA from 1 species
UACGAAGGGUGCAAGCGUUGUUCGGAUUUAUUGGGCGUAAAGCGCGCGCAGGCGGAUUAGAAAGUCAGAUGUGAAAUCUCGAGGCUUAACCUCGAACGUGCAUCUGAAACUUCUAGUCUAGAGUAGUGGAGGGGAAAGGGGAAUUUCACGUGUAGGGGUAAAAUCCGUAGAGAUGUGAAGGAACACCUGGGGCGAAAGCGCCUUUCUGGACACUUACUGACGCUGAGGCGCGAAAGCGUGGGGAUCAAACAGG